rnacentral:lncRNA from 1 species
UGGGGUGAAGUGGUUAAGAAAGUAUGAAGGUUUGCUGGAAUGUUGCUUGGCCACAUGAUAUGAGAUUCAAGUGUUUAGAUUUCAAGUGUCCAUGAAUACAAUUUGUAUAUACAAAUACAUGAUAAGUAAGAAUAUCAAUGGUACUAUGAGAGUGUACUGGAGUGUGUGAUCAGGGGGCUGAAUUCCAUUUAAAGAGAUCGUGCUUGUAACUAUUUUCUGGACUAUGGAUUUGACAGAGAAGAAAAGAAUAAGAGUGCAAGAGGGGUAAAAUAGUGUGAAAUAUAAUUACAGGUGGAGACUAAGGUAAAAUAAUUACUGAAGUAAAAAUAGUAUGCCUUUAAAUUGUUUAUCAAAGCGAAGGUUGUAGGAAAAUGAAAAUUUUAGAUCCCAAAAUAAUUCAUUUUACUGAUAUUAAAAGCUGGAAUUUUUUUUGGCUCAGUAAAAGCGCCAGCUGGGAUGACUAGAUGAUUCAGACAUAUGGUGCAUAUUAUGGGCAAAUGGCUGUAAGGUUAUAAAGGCUUUUGCUUGUUCUGCUGUCGCUUCAGUGGGGGGGAAGAAAUGUCAUAUAUGUGUUUCUUAAUGUCCUUCUGAAGGGAGCACUUAAAUGGAAUGAUCAAAUUAAAAAUGUAUAUGAUUCAGCAUGAAUACUUGCUCAAUCG